CGUUGGGAGCUCUACCAUAUGGUCGACCUGCAGGCGGCCGCGAAUUCACUAGUGAUUAGAGUUUGAUCAUGGGUCAGAUUGAACGCUAGCGGCAUGCUUAACACAUGCAAGUCGAACGGUAACAGGCCUAGCUUGCUAGGUGCUGACGAGUGGCGGACGGGUGAGUAACGCGUAGGAAUCUGCCUUCUAGUGGGGGAUAACUUGGGGAAACUCAAGCUAAUACCGCAUAAGCCCUAAGGGGGAAAGCAAGGGACAGUGAUGCCUUGUGCCAGAAGAUGAGCCUGCGUCGGAUUAGCUAGUUGGUAGGGUAAAAGCCUACCAAGGCGAUGAUCCGUAGCUGGUCUGAGAGGAUGACCAGCCACACUGGGACUGAGACACGGCCCAGACUCCUACGGGAGGCAGCAGUGGGGAAUAUUGGACAAUGGGCGAAAGCCUGAUCCAGCAAUGCCGCGUGUGUGAAGAAGGCCUGCGGGUUGUAAAGCACUUUCGGUAGGGAAGAAGGCCUUAGUGUUAAUAGCACUAAGGAUUGACAUUACCUACAGAAGAAGCACCGGCUAACUCUGUGCCAGCAGCCGCGGUAAUACGAAUCGAA
rnacentral:rRNA from 1 species